rnacentral:rRNA from 1 species
UACGUAGGGGGCGAGCGUUGUCCGGAAUCAUUGGGCGUAAAGCGCGUGUAGGCGGUCCGGUAAGUCCGCUGUGAAAGUCGAGGGCUCAACCCUCGAAUGCCGGUGGAUACUGUCGGGCUUGAGUACGGGAGAGGCGAGUGGAAUUCCUGGUGUAGCGGUGAAAUGCGUAGAUAUCGAGAGGAACACCUGCGGCGAAGGCGGGUGCUGGGCCGACACUGACGCUGAUGCGCGAAAGCCAGGGAGGCGAAGCGGG